ACGCUGGCGGCGUGCUUAACACAUGCAAGUCGAACGAAGAGCGAUGGAAGCUUGCUUCUAUCAAUCUUAGUGGCGAACGGGUGAGUAACGCGUAAUCAACCUGCCCUUCAGAGGGGGACAACAGUUGGAAACGACUGCUAAUACCGCAUACGAUCUAACCUCGGCAUCGAGGAUGGAUGAAAGGUGGCCUCUAUUUAUAAGCUAUCACUGAAGGAGGGGAUUGCGUCUGAUUAGCUAGUUGGAGGGGUAACGGCCCACCAAGGCGAUGAUCAGUAGCCGGUCUGAGAGGAUGAACGGCCACAUUGGGGCUGAGACACGGCCCAGACUCCUACGGGAGGCAGCAGUGGGGAAUCUUCCGCAAUGGACGAAAGUCUGACGGAGCAACGCCGCGUGAGUGAUGACGGCCUUCGGGUUGUAAAGCUCUGUUAAUCGGGACGAAAGGCCUUCUUGCGAAUAGUUAGAAGGAUUGACGGUACCGGAAUAGAAAGCCACGGCUAACUACGUGCCAGCAGCCGCGGUAAUACGUAGGUGGCAAGCGUUGUCCGGAAUUAUUGGGCGUAAAGCGCGCGCAGGCGGAUCAGUCAGUCUGUCUUAAAAGUUCGGGGCUUAACCCCGUGAUGGGAUGGAAACUGCUGAUCUAGAGUAUCGGAGAGGAAAGUGGAAUUCCUAGUGUAGCGGUGAAAUGCGUAGAUAUUAGGAAGAACACCAGUGGCGAAGGCGACUUUCUGGACGAAAACUGACGCUGAGGCGCGAAAGCCAGGGGAGCGAACGGGAUUAGAUACCCCGGUAGUCCUGGCCGUAAACGAUGGGUACUAGGUGUAGGAGGUAUCGACCCCUUCUGUGCCGGAGUUAACGCAAUAAGUACCCCGCCUGGGGAGUACGACCGCAAGGUUGAAACUCAAAGGAAUUGACGGGGGC
rnacentral:rRNA from 1 species